GACGAACGCUGGCGGCGUGCUUAACGCAUGCAAGUCGAACGGAAAGGCCCUGCUUUUGUGGGGUGCUCGAGUGGCGAACGGGUGAGUAACACGUGAGUAACCUGCCCUUGACUUUGGGAUAACUUCAGGAAACUGGGGCUAAUACCGGAUAGGACCUCCUGCUGCAUGGUGGGGGUUGGAAAGUUUCGGCGGUUGGGGAUGGACUCGCGGCUUAUCAGCUUGUUGGUGGGGUAGUGGCUUACCAAGGCUUUGACGGGUAGCCGGCCUGAGAGGGUGACCGGCCACAUUGGGACUGAGAUACGGCCCAGACUCCUACGGGAGGCAGCAGUGGGGAAUAUUGCACAAUGGGCGGAAGCCUGAUGCAGCAACGCCGCGUGCGGGAUGACGGCCUUCGGGUUGUAAACCGCUUUCGCCUGUGACGAAGCGUGAGUGACGGUAAUGGGUAAAGAAGCACCGGCUAACUACGUG
rnacentral:rRNA from 1 species